AGCCCCGCCCGUCGGGCUUGCUGCCCUAUGUAGUCACCGAGGUCGAGCGUGCGCAGAGGGUGUGGCCGCAGUGUCUUCGGGGAGUUGUAGUCCUAGAGUUGUAGUCUCUUUUGACUUUGCUUAGGCUCUAGGACCUGAUGAUUCCCCCACAUGAAGGACUUAGAUUAACUUAAUGAGAAUUACAGAAAACUUGAAGAGACAGAUGUAACAACUGACCUAUGGGUGCUAAAAUAACACGUGGAGAUCGAAUUUCUGAUGCCGUCAGGGCUCUAGGCUUCAAGGUUUGCUUGAGAAAUCAAGGAGGACCUGAGUUGUUUUUUAAAAUAUCCUUCUGGUGUACUACCAGGACAGAGUGGAAGAGUAAAAGACAAAUAAAGGAAGACUGGCUGACUAAACUGAA